rnacentral:rRNA from 1 species
AGAGAGAGACAUGCGCGCAUAUCAAUAAGCGGAGGAAAAGAAACUAACAAGGAUUCCCUAGUAACGGCGAGUGAAGCGGGAAGAGCUCAAAUUUGAAAUCUUCAAGGUUUUACCUUGACGAAUUGUAGUUUAAAGAAGUGUUUUCUGUUAGAGAGGUAGUAAAAGUUCUUUGGAAAUAGGACAUCAUAAGAGGGUGAGAAUCCCGUAUUUGACUAUUCUUUCUAGCUGUGUGAUACACUUUCAAAGAGUCGGAUUGUUUGGGAAUGCAGUCCAAAAUGGGUGGUAAAUUUCAUCUAAAGCUAAAUAUUGGCGAGAGACCGAUAGCGAACAAGUACCGUGAGGGAAAGAUGAAAAGAACUUUGAAAAGAGAGUUAAACAGUACGUGAAAUUGUCAAAAGGGAAGCGUUUGACACCAGUGUUGUUUUUCCGAAAAUCAAUUAAAAAUGGAUUCAUGCUAGGUAGUAUUGACUUCAUCGGCUUGCUGCUUAGUUUUGGGUUCUUUUUUGAUGCACUUUUCGGUUAACAAGUCAACAUCAAUUUCUUUUGUUGUAAAAGGGUCAUUGGAAGGUGGCUUUCUUUUCGGAGAAAGUGUUUAUAGCCUUUGGCCUCUGCAAUCGGAGAGAUUGAGGUCUGCAGCGUAGAUCCUUCGGGGUUAGAUACAUUUGUGCUAAGUUAUAGCCUUUCAUAGACAACUUGUUGACUAUGAUCAGUCAUGUAGCUUACUCGCUUAUGCUAUUUUACCUACGCUUAGGAUGUUGACAGCAGUAUAGACUGU